GUAUGAUGAUGGAAAGUGGCGAACGGGUGAGUAACACGUUGGUGACCUGCCUCAAAGAGGGGGACAACCACUAGAAAUGGUGGCUAAUACCCCAGAUGUUAACCUUUUUAGAAACGGUUGACUAAAGCUCCGGCGCUUUGAGAGGGGCCUGCGUCCCAUCAGCUAGUUGGUAAGGUAAUGGCUUACCAAGGCUAAGACGGGUAGGGGACGUGAGAGCGUGAUCCCCCACAAUGGUACUGACACACGGACCAUAUACCUACGGGUAGCAGCAGCAAGGAAUAUUGCGCAAUGGGCGAAAGCCUGACGCAGCAACGCCGCGUGGAGGACGAAGGUCUUCGGAUUGUAAACUCCUUUUCUGAGGGAAUAGAAAGGAAGGUACCUCAGGAAUAAGCUCCGGCUAACUACGUGCCAGCAGCCGCGGUAAAACGUAGGGAGCAAGCGUUAUCCGGAUUUAUUGGGCGUAAAGCGCACGCAGGCGGUUUUUUAAGUUGGAUGUGAAAGCUCCCGGCUCAACUGGGAGAGGCCAUUCAAAACUGAAAGACUUGAGAGUAACAGAGGAAAGCGGAAUUCCAGGUGUAGUGGUGAAAUGCGUAGAUAUCUGGAGGAACACCAGUGGCGAAAGCGGCUUUCUGGGUUAUUUCUGACGCUCAUGUGCGAAAGCUAGGGGAGAGAACGGGAUUAGAAACCCCGGUAUUCCUAGCCGUAAACGAUGUCAACUAGGUGUAGGAGGUAACCAAUCCUUCUGUACUGCAGCUAACGCGUUAAGUUGACCGCCUGGGGACUACGGCCGCAAGGCUAAAACUCAAAGGAAUUGACGGGGACCCGCACAAGCAGCGGAGCGUGUGGUUUAAUUCGAGGCUACGCGAAGAACCUUACCAGGGUUUGACAUAUGCAUGGUACCGACCCGAAAGGGAAGGGACUCUUCGGAGAGUGCAUACAGGUGCUGCAUGGCUGUCGUCAGCUCGUGCCGUGAGGUGUCUGGUUAAGUCCAAUAACGAGCGCAACCCUCAUCGUUAGUUACAUGUGUCUAGCGAGACUGCCGGUGAUAAGCCGGAGGAAGGUGGGGAUGACGUCAAGUCAGCAUGGCCUUUAUAUCCUGGGCUACACACACGCUACAAUGGCCAGUACAAUGGGUAGCCAAGCCGCGAGGUGGAGCCAAUCCCCCAAAGCUGGUCUCAGUUCGGAUUGUAGGCUGCAACUCGCCUGCAUGAAGUCGGAGUUGCUAGUAACCGCGCGUCAGCAACAGUGCGGUGAAUACGUUCCCGGGUCUUGUACACACCGCCCGUCACGUC
rnacentral:rRNA from 1 species